GCCAAACAGGUUCUUGAUACGAAGACAGAUGAGAAAAAAAAUAAAAUAAAAACAAGCAACUCAACUCAAAUAGAUGAAUUGCAGGUUGGAUACUUGAAUAAAAAAUCAAUCCACCGUUAGUACUAAAUUUGCAGUUCGCUUCCUCUUGUCUUUCCCCCCAUGAAAGGAAUCUCCUGCGUCAACGAAUAGUAUAUAUUGGGACGCACACCAGCUGCAACAUGUGGAAACCCAUGACGUUUUUAUAUCUCGUUUUCUUUUUUGUAAAUGCAAUACACUACAGUGGUGUCGAACUAGACCCCUGAAAUGAUGCAGGGCUCGGCAAACGCCAAAAUCAUCACGAGGGUUCUAGCUUUUUUAGGCCUUGCAGAAAAGCUGAGAUCCGCUUUUUUUUUUCUUUUCUUUCUAAGGUAACAAAAAAGGGCCGAAGGCCGUAAAGCACAGAGAGAGACAAACUAACCUAAUUUCCAGUCUCUUUAUAAUCACCAAUACAACAGAAAUCCUUCCAUUCCAUAGCCUCUCCUACAUAAAUUUUGGAGGCUCAGGAAAGAAACAUGUCUCCCUAACGUCUUUGCCAUCCACUUCAACCUUACUGUAUGCUACCACUAUAAGCAGCCAGUAGCGUCUACAAUUAAUGGAUCACGUAACAAGAGCUCUUACCUGCACAGCACAGUUGUGACUUGCGAAAGCCAUCGAACUGCCUUAUGUCCCCGUCAACCACUUCUGUUGGUCCCUCAGCUACGUUUUGAAAACGAUUUAAUUUGUCGUCGUUUGGGCUGUGAAAAGGAAUGGAAAUCGGUUGCUAGAGGACCUGGGCUGGGUAGUUCCAGCUAAGGGAAAACGAUUGACGCCAAUUUUACAGUAUAUUGGCUUAUGAAUUGAUUCAUGGAAAAAGAAACCCAAGAAAUUUAGAGGGGCCAAUCUAGCUUUGUUUCCAGUCGCCCUCAAUUUACAUAUUUAAAGAUUCCCCGCGACUGCUAAAGCGACCACAAAGUUAGGCAGCCAGCUUUCUCAUCUAAUUAUCAUAUACUUUGGAGAGGAUGCAUGUGGGAGUGAAAGGUCUGGAAACCAAGCCCCACAUCACAUAUACCGAAUAGAAAGCUCAAGGAACCACCAAACUAAGCACUUUCCUA
rnacentral:lncRNA from 1 species